rnacentral:rRNA from 1 species
UGCCAUCCGCCGCGGUAAAACGGAGGGUGCAAGCGUUGUUCGGAAUUAUUGGGCGUAAAGCGCGUGUAGGCGGUUCGUUAAGUCUGAUGUGAAAGCCCAGGGCUCAACCUUGGAAUUGCCUUUGAUACUGCCAGUCUUGAGUUCGGGAGAGGUGAGCGGAAUUCCGAGUGUAGAGGUGAAAUGCAUAGAUAUGAUACAGAACACCGAUUGCGAAGGCAGCUCACUAAACUAUUACUGACGCUGAGGGACGAAAGCGUGGGGAGCAAACAGGAUUAGAUA